AUCUGCUACCCAAAAUUUUAUCUUCAGCGUCAAACAUGAUAGCUCCAAAACCAAUCCCAAUUCCUUCACCCACGGCUGCAUCGCAUUGAAUUUUAACUUGAUCGGCCCUGCUGCAAAACACACUAGAAGGUUUGGAACAACUAAAAAAAGGGCAAAUGGGUCGUCUCCAUAAUGCUCGCUGUGAGAUCAAAAAGCAAUCCGCUUGAGAGAUCCUCUUAUCCUGGAAAACAAAGAUGUUGCGAGCAUACCAGGAGGCCCAAGCGAGAGUUGCAAAAGAGUUGUGAACUUCUUU
rnacentral:lncRNA from 1 species